UUUAAGUCUUGUAUCCUGACAAUUGAAAGAGUGAGAGAUGAUUUAAAGGCAAAGUAUGAAAAGAAACUUGAAGACAUUGACAAAAAGGUUGUCAAAUUAGAAGCGAAAAAUGAAUGUAUGCCGAAAUUGUUGCUUACAAUAAAGCACAUGCUGGAAAAUAGUAAUCGAGGCAGAGAUCAAAUAUCAAUCAACAACAAACUAAUAGUAGGAGGAAAGAUUCAGCUGGACAAUUUGCUUUCGAAUGUAGUGGAAGAAUCAGAAGAAAUAAAACCUCUGAAAACAAAUCUUUUGGUGGAAAAACAAAACCUGAACAAACUCAAGAACAACAUUAAACAAGAGAAAGAAAUCCUGAGCAAAGCCAAUGAGCUCAUGAACAAAGAAAAACUGGCGCUUGAUUUGAUGAAGUCUGAAAUACAAAAACAAUUGAUCGCAUUGAAAGAGAAUCAACGCAUGACCAAAGAGAGAUACAGUGACCUUAAAAUCAGAAAAAACGAGUUUAGAAAGAAUAAAACAGGAUUGAACAGAAUAGCUGAGAAGAUGAAGAAAGAGAGCGAACAAAUUCAUCAGCUAAACAUGGACGUUGUGACAAAAAGAGAUGAAGUCAAUGAUAACCGAUGUGCAAUGGAACAGCAAAAUAGAGACUUGAGUGUUCUCAGACAGGAACAUUGUCAAAAGAGCAAAGAGAUUGCAUUUGCCAGGACCAAAAUAAGUACAGAGAUGGAAAAGCUACUCAAAAUGAAGGCUACUUUUGAAACCGGAAAAAUACUGCAUGCCAAAGACACAGAGACGAUGGAACAACUACAAUCUGAGCUGAAGGUGUUGCAAGAUUACCUUAAGUCUUGUAUCCUGUCAAUUGAAAGAGUAAGAGAUGAUUUAAAGGCAAAGUAUACAAAGAAACUUGAAGACAUUGACAAAAAGGUUGUCAAAUUAGAAGCGAAAAAUGAAGGUAUGCCGAAAUUGUUGCUUACAAUAAAGCACAUGCUGGAAAAUAGUAAUCGAGGCAGAGGUCAAAUAUCAGUCAACAACAAACUAAUAGUAGGAGGAAAGAUUCAGCUGGACAAUUUGCUUUCGAAUGCUGUGAAAGAAUCAGAAGAAAUAAAACAUCUGAAAACAAAACUUUUGGUGGAAAAACAAAACCUGGACAAACUAAAGAACAACAUUAAACAAGAGAAAGAAAUCCUGAGCAAAGCCAAUGAGCUCAUGAGCAAAGAAAAACUGGAGCUUGUUUUGAUGAAGUCUGAUAUGCAAAAACAAUUGAUCGCAUUGAAAGAGAAUCAACGCAUGACCAAAGGGAGAUACAGUGACCUUAAAAUAAGAGAAAACGAGUUUAGAAAGAAUAAAACAGGAUUGGACAGAAUAGCUGAGAAGAUGAAGAAAGAGAGGGAACAAAUUCAUCAGCUAAACAUGGACGUUGUGACAAAAAGAGAUGCAGUCAAUGAUAACCGAUGUGCAAUGGAACAGCAAAAUAGAGACUUGAGUGUUCUCAGACAGGAACAUUGUCAAAAGAGCAAAGAGAUUGCAUUUGCCAGGACCAAAAUAAGUACAGAGAUGGAACAGCUACUCAAAAUGAAGGCUGAUUUUGAAACAGAAAAAAUACUGCAUGCCAAAGACACAGAGACGAUGGAACAACUACAAUCUGAGCUGAAGGUGUUGCAAGAUUACCUUAAGUCUUGUAUCCUGUCAAUUGAAAGAGUAAGAGAUGAUUUAAAGGCAAAGUAUACAAAGAAACUUGAAGACAUUGACAAAAAGGUUGUCAAAUUAGAAGCGAAAAAUGAAGGUAUGCCGAAAUUGUUGCUUACAAUAAAGCACAUGCUGGAAAAUAGUAAUCGAGGCAGAGGUCAAAUAUCAGUCAACAACAAACUAAUAGUAGGAGGAAAGAUUCAGCUGGACAAUUUGCUUUCGAAUGCUGUGAAAGAAUCAGAAGAAAUAAAACAUCUGAAAACAAAACUUUUGGUGGAAAAACAAAACCUGGACAAACUAAAGAACAACAUUAAACAAGAGAAAGAAAUCCUGAGCAAAGCCAAUGAGCUCAUGAGCAAAGAAAAACUGGAGCUUGUUUUGAUGAAGUCUGAUAUGCAAAAACAAUUGAUCGCAUUGAAAGAGAAUCAACGCAUGACCAAAGGGAGAUACAGUGACCUUAAAAUAAGAGAAAACGAGUUUAGAAAGAAUAAAACAGGAUUGGACAGAAUAGCUGAGAAGAUGAAGAAAGAGAGGGAACAAAUUCAUCAGCUAAACAUGGACGUUGUGACAAAAAGAGAUGCAGUCAAUGAUAACCGAUGUGCAAUGGAACAGCAAAAUAGAGACUUGAGUGUUCUCAGACAGGAACAUUGUCAAAAGAGCAAAGAGAUUGCAUUUGCCAGGACCAAAAUAAGUACAGAGAUGGAACAGCUACUCAAAAUGAAGGCUGAUUUUGAAACAGAAAAAAUACUGCAUGCCAAAGACACAGAGACGAUGGAACAACUGCAAUCUGAGCAGAAGGUGUUGCAAGAUUACUUUAAGUCUUGUAUCCUGUCAAUUGAAAGAGUGAGAGAUGAUUUAAAGGCAAAGUAUACAAAGAAACUUGAAGACAUUGACAAAAAGGUUGUCAAAUUAGAAGCGAAAAAGGAAGGUAUGCCGAAAUUGUUGCUUAAAUUUAAGCACUUGCUGGAAGAUAGUAAUCAAGGCAGAGAUCGAGUAUCAAUCAACAACAAACUAAUAGUAGGAGGAAAGAUUCAGCUGGACAAAUUGCUUUCAAAUGAAGUAAAAGAAUCAGAAGAAAUAAAACAUCUGAAAACAAAACUUUUGGUGGAAAAACAAAACCUGGACAAACUAAAGAACAACAUUAAACAAGAGAAAGAAUUCCUGAGCAAAGCCAAUGAGCUCAUGAGCAAAGAAAAACUGGAGCUGGUUUUGAUGAAGUCUGAUAUGCAAAAACAAUUGAUCACAUUGGGGAAGAAUCAACGCAUGAUUAAAGAGGGAUACAUUGACCUUGAAAUCAGACAAAAUGAGUUUAAAAAGAAUACAACAGGACUGGACACAAUAGCUGAGAAGAUGAAGAAGGGAAGGGAACAAAUUCAUCAGCUAAACAUGGAUGUUGGGACAAAAAGAGAUGAAAUCAAUGACAACAAAUGUGCAAUGGAACAGCAAAAUAGGGACUUGUGUGUUCUCAGACAGGAACAUUGUCAAAAGAGCAAAGAGAUUGCAUUCACCAGAACCAAAAUAAGUACAGAGAUGGAAAAGUUACUCAAAAUGAAGGUUAAUUUUAAAACGGAAAAAAGACUGCAUGCCAAAGACACGGAGCGGAUGGAAAAUUUGAAAUCUGAGCAAAAGGUGUUGCAAGAUCACUUUAGGUCUUGUAUCCUGUCAAUGGAAAGAGUGAGAGAUGUUUUAAAGGCAAAGUAUAAGAAGAAACUUGAGGACAUUGACAAAAAAAUUGUCAUUUUAGAAGCAAAAAAUGAAGGUUUGCCGAAAAUCUUGUUUGAAUUAAAGCACAUGAUGGAAGACAGUAAUAGAGGCAGAGAUCAAAUAUCAAUCAAAAACAAACUAACAAUGGGAGGAAAGACCCAGCUGGAAAAUUUGUUUUCAAACGUAUUGAAAGAAACAGAAGAAAUAAAACAUCAUGUUGGAGUGGAAAAUGAACUCAAACAGAGGCUUUGUACUCUUCCCGAUUUAGUGAUAAAAAGAGGUGUUUCCCCAGUAACCAGAAUUUCUAAAAGCGAUUGUCUACGGAAAAUCUGGAAAGAUAUAAAAACAGAAAAGAGGAAUAUUGAUCAGAUGAAGUGUCAGGGUCAUGAGAUGAAAAAGAACCUGGAGAAACAAUUGCAUGUGAUAAACCCGAUUGUUAAAUCAUAUUGGAAACAAAAGGAAUAUACAUUUGUGAAAAAGACCUUAUAUCAAGGAGUUGGUGACACAUCGCAAAGUUCCUCAAAGACCAAGGACAAAAUAGAAGAUGAAAAAUGCUUAUACCUUCAAAAACUCAAAAUUGAGAUGCUUAGUGAUAUUGAGACUCUCAUUGUCAAGCAAGAACAUAUGACCAGAGCCCUGAAAACUAGUGAUACAGCUACCCAAACACUUCAGAUGGCUACGACAACAGAUGGAUACACCAUAAUUAAUGAAGAGCAGACAAAGACUGGGAAAACAAAAUUAGCAACCAAUACAUUGAGUGGACUUUUGUAUCGUCUCCAGUGUUAUUAUAACAAAUGUUGCUGUGGAAACUCCAGGAAGCCAUGUGCGGAGGAUAAAUGAGACAAGUGGUUUUCGGGUGAGUUGGAACCUGACUCAGCUGACUUUUGGCAUGGUGAACUCGUUUUUGGACUGUGGGAGGAAACACACACAAAAAGCUUUGGGUGAGCUACGUCAUUCGUGUGCGCUGGAAAAACGCAGUCGCCAGCGGAAAUGGAUAUUUCAUCACAACAUCCGGUUUCGCUUGCUGCGGGAUCGUUCCUCCAAUGCUACACGGACUACUCCGGACGACAGCGUGAGCUAAUUGUUUGCCACCUGAGGAUCAGAUCCGAGUCCUACGCCAGCAACUGGGUCCUUAAAUCUUCCAUGUGUGGGCUUCUCCAGGGGGGAAGUGUGGAUUAUGCAUCCUGCCCAAGGGCUGGGAGGGAGGUGAAGGAGGCAGGACUGGAACAUGGUUACUGGGCGUCCCACUCGACCUCCUGACCCAUGCUGUCUCCGGCAAUAGAAUAUAAGCAAUGACAUAUUAUGAGCAAGUUUAAGAAAUAGUACACAGUUUUGUUUUUUAGGUAAACGGAGGAAACAGUGCUUAGAACCACAGAGUCUCAUACCACUAACUCCUUCAUUUAUUCAUGUAACAUUAGUUUAUCAUUUAUUAUUUACUAUAUACUCUAUUCUUCAUUCAUUAUAUAUUGCCUAUCAGUAUUAACUCCUUUAUUUAUUCCAUCAUUAUUAAUAAUGAUUUGUUUUCUGUAUUCUGUAUUCAUCGCUAGAAUUUUUAAGAUUUCUUGUAAUGUAAAAUGUAUUACAAAUAAAGUAUAUUAUUAUUAUUGUUACAGAAUGCUUCUGUCAGUAUGUACUUCUGUAUAAUUUACUAUACAUUAUUUCUUGUCUGUCCUUAUCAAACAAUGACCUCGGA